UACGUAGGCAGCGAGCGUUGUUCGGAAUUACUGGGCGUAAAGAGUGUGUAGGCGGUGCUCCCAGUCUGUUGUGAAAUCUCCCGGCUUAACUGGGAGGGUGCAGCGGAAACUAGAGUGCUAGAGGGUGGGAGAGGUAAGCGGAAUUCCUGGUGUAGCGGUGAAAUGCGUAGAUAUCAGGAGGAACACCGGUGGUGUAAACGGCUUUCUGGACCAUAACUGACGCUGAUGCACGAAAGCGUGGGUAGCAAACAGG
rnacentral:rRNA from 1 species